GUUAUUUAUGCAUUGCGGCUUGGAAGCUGGCAUUAUUAGUGCAGCUUAUUGCAAUGUUCAUAUUUCACAAUUUUAUUUCCUGUUGCCGUUUAGAAUUGUUGGAAUUAUGCUCUCGAACUAUUGACCAUUUAAUGUUCCCUUUUCUUUGUAACAAAAACAAAGUCACGACAUCGUGUUCCCUACCUGCAAUUCUUUGAUUGCAGCUGAGAUCUAUCUGCUUUAGCAAGUCCAAAGUGAUCACAUUAAUAUUCAGCAUUAACUUGGGUUUCACAUUGAUUGGCAAGCAUCCAUCUGAUGUUGAUGGGAAAACUAAACACAAGGGGGAAAGGAACAUGAGGUAUCGUAAGAUCAUAAAGUUUAUUUCAGUAAUGGUGCCAUGAAGUUACCAUCAAUUGCAAAAAAAAUCUGGAUUACUCGUGCACUGGGGGACGAAAUCUGCUGUUCUUCCCCCAUCUGGCCUAUAUGUGACUCCAAUACAAAAAUCUUCAAUGCUGUCUGUCUGCAUUUUGUAUUUUUCGAAGAUUUCUGCCAUCCACAGUAUUUUUCUUUUCCAUUAUAAAAAGAGUUCUAUGUGCACUGCUGGAGUCUGCAUCUAAGGCGGAGAAAGCCUGUUAUGGAGCAUGUUGACCUUGAAGGUUUGGGCAGAUGACCAUGGAGCGAGGGUCUGCUGGAAUCACCCUGAUUCUAGAGAGGAAGGAGCCGCUCAUUCCCCACCCACCUUGUCUUCGAUGCUGAGCACCAAUGGCUAAAGUGAGAUGGAGUGAAAGUCUGCGUGUGUCUCCAGCAGCCACUGAGCUUUUUGCUGAACCUGACUUUCUGUGGAGACAACCAGGCAUAUGCAUACAGGAGCCAGCACAGCACAGAUAGUGUUGAUGGGUUCCUCCAACCUUUGAUCCAGCUACCCGAGUGUCAUUGACAAACCUGCCCACAGCUCCUCAUUCCGUGUAUGAUCACACAAUAUAUUCACGGCUGACACCAUGGGGUCCUCUCCUCCUUACGAGGAGAAGGAUCUGGGAUCCAGCAGUCCGCUGAGUGGCAACAGCCUGGGUGU